AUGGGUUGUAAUCGCAUAAUUAUUAACUCGGAUAAUAUGGAGGUGAUCGAGACCAUGAACGAAGGAGGACAAUCGUCGGGGGCAGCAGCUGCAAUUUUUUAUGAUUGUUUUCACUUAGCUUGCGAUUUUCCUAUUUCUAGAUUCGAGCAUUGUAAUAGAGAGGCAAAUAAAGUUGCUUAUGAACUUGCCAAGUUGGCUAGAUUUUCAUUCAUUUCUGAUUGGUUCGAGGAACCACAUAAUGCAAUUGUACCAAUCCUCAUAAACGAUGUAAUGAUUAUUUCUAAUGAAUAA
rnacentral:rRNA from 1 species